CCUACGGGUGGCUGCAGUAGGGAAUAUUGCUCAAUGGGGGAAACCCUGAAGCAGCAACGCCGCGUGGAGGAUGAAGGUUUUCGGAUUGUAAACUCCUGUUGUUAGAGAAGAUAAUGCGGGUGUCUAACGGAUAAGCACCCGCUAACUCCGUGCCAGAAGCCGCGGUAAUACGGAGGGGGCAAGCGUUACUCGGAAUCACUGGGCGUAAAGGGCGCGUAGGCGGGAUAGCAAGUCAGAUGUGAAAUCCUAUGGCUUAACCAGAGAAGUGCAUUUGAAACUGUGAUUCGAGAGUAUGGGAGAGGUAGGUGGAAUUCGUGGUGUAGGGGUAAAAUCCGUAGAGAUAAAGAGGAAUACUCAUUGCGAAGGCGACCUGCUAGAACAUAACUGACGCUGAGGCGCGAAAGCGUGGGGAGCAAACAGGAUUAGAUACCCGAGUAGUC
rnacentral:rRNA from 1 species